rnacentral:lncRNA from 1 species
GCCAGAUUAGACACUAUUAGAACUCUUAUUGCAUUGGCAGCUCAAAAGGGGUGGAAGCUGUAUCAAUUGGAUGUCAAGUAUGCUUUUCUGAAUGGUGUGCUUAAGGAAGAAGUAUAUGUGGACCAGCCAGAUGGUUUUGUGAUUAAGAACUCUGAAGACAAAGUGUACAAACUGAAGAAAGCUCUGUAUGGUCUAAAACAGGCGCGAAGAGCAUGGUAUGAGGAAAUAAACUCGUAUCUAAUUAACUGCAGUUAUACAAGGAGCUCUAGUGAAGCAACUCUCUACUGCAAGACCAAGGAAAACUCUGGAACACUCAUUGUAUCGAUUUAUGUUGAUGAAAUAGUGUAUACAUGAAGCAGUGAAGAAUUGAUUGCAGAUUUUAAGUAUGAGAUGAUGAGAAGGUAUGAAAUGAUUGACUGAGGUCUUUUGUACCAUUUCCUUGGUAUGGUUGUGAUUCAAACUGAAAAGAGUAUUUUAUAAGUCAAAAGAAAUAUGUUUUGACUCUGUUAAGCAAGUUUGGCUUAAAGCAAUGCAA